rnacentral:rRNA from 1 species
GAUGAACGCUGGCGGCAGGCCUAACACAUGCAAGUCGAACGAGUGGCGGACGUGUGAGUAAUGUCUGGGAAACUGCCUGAUAGAGGGGGAUAACUACUGGAAACGGUCGCAUAUACCGCAUCCCAUCGGAUGUGCCCAGAUGGGAUUAGCUAGUAGGUGGGGUAACGGCUCACCUAGGCGACGACCCCUAGCUGGUCUGAGAGGAUGAACAGCCACACUGGAACUGAGACACGGUCCAGACGCCUACGGGAGGCAUCAGUGGGGAAUAUGGCACAAUGGGCGCAAGCCUGAUGCAGCCAUGCCGCGUGUAUGAAGAAGGCCUGCGGGUUGUAAAGUACUUUCAGCGGGGAGGCGUUACCCGCAGAAGAAGCACCGGCUAACUCCGUGCCAGCAGCCGCGGUAAUUC